rnacentral:rRNA from 1 species
CUUACGGGGGGCAGCAGUGGGGAAUAUUGGGCAAUGGGCGCAAGCCUGACCCAGCAACGCCGCGUGAAGGAAGAAGGCUUUCGGGUUGUAAACUUCUUUUGUCAGGGAAGAGUAGAAGACGGUACCUGACAAAUAAGCCACGGCUAACUACGUGCCAGCAGCCGCGGUAAUACGUAGGUGGCAAGCGUUGUCCGGAUUUACUGGGUGUAAAGGGCGUGUAGCCGGGUUGACAAGUCAGAUGUGAAAUUCCGGGGCUCAACCCCGGACCUGCAUUUGAAACUGUUGGUCUUGAGUAUAGGAGAGGCAGGCGGAAUUCCUAGUGUAGCGGUGAAAUGCGUAGAUAUUAGGAGGAACAGCAGUGGCGAAGGCGGCCUGCUGGACGACAACUGACGGUGAGGCGCGAAAGCGUGGGGAGCAAACAGGAUUAGAUACCCCUGUAGUC